rnacentral:rRNA from 1 species
AACGAACGCUGGCGGCAUGCCUAACACAUGCAAGUCGAACGAGAUCUUCGGGUCUAGUGGCGCACGGGUGCGUAACGCGUGGGAAUCUGCCCUUUGGUUCGGAAUAACAGUUGGAAACGACUGCUAAUACCGGAUGAUGACGAAAGUCCAAAGAUUUAUCGCCAGAGGAUGAGCCCGCGUAGGAUUAGCUAGUUGGGGUGGUAAAGGCGCACCAAGGCGACGAUCCUUAGCUGGUCUGAGAGGAUGAUCAGCCACACUGGGACUGAGACACGGCCCAGACUCCUACGGGAGGCAGCAGUGGGGAAUAUUGGACAAUGGGCGAAAGCCUGAUCCAGCAAUGCCGCGUGAGUGAUGAAGGCCUUAGGGUUGUAAAGCUCUUUUACCCGGGAUGAUAAUGACAGUACCGGGAGAAUAAGCUCCGGCUAACUCCGUGCCAGCCGCCGUAAGAC